rnacentral:rRNA from 1 species
AUGGAUAGUAAUAGGGCCCUGGGCCCAGACAAUGUUCCGGCUAAGUUCUACAAGCAUUGCUGGGAUUUUGUUAAAACGGACAUUAUGCGCUUAUUUCAUGCCUUCCACAGCAACACCCUAGAUGUGGCGCAUUUGAACUAUGGGGUGAUCACCUUGAUCCCCAAGAUCAAUGGUGCUAAAAAAAUCCAACAAUAUCGCCCCAUUUGUCUCCUUAGAUGCUCGUAUAAGCUGAUUACUAAGGUGAUGGAUAAUAGAGUGGCCAUCUUUGCUGACAAACUUAUUAGCAAACAUCAAAAUGCUUUCAUAAAGCACAGGAACAUCAUGGAUGGGAUUCUUACCCUCCAUGAGGUGCCGCAUCACACUCGUCAAAAGAAAAAAGUUGGUGUGGUGCUAAAAUUGGAUUUUGCAAAAGCCUAUGAUAAGAUAAAUUGGGAUUUUCUCCUUGAAUGCCAUGGCAACCGAGGGUUUGGAACAACCUGGUGCGGCUGUCGGUGUCAAAACCAGCGGAUCUCGGGUAGGGGGUCCCGAACUGUGCGUCUAAGGUCGAUGGUAACAGGAGACAGGGGACACGAUGUUUACCCAGGUUCGGGCCCUCUCUAUGGAGGUAAUACCAUACUUCCUGCUUGA